rnacentral:rRNA from 1 species
GUCGAACGCUGGCGGCGUGCCUAAUACAUGCAAGUCGAACGCAGUGGGGACGGGUGAGUAACACGUGGGUAACCUCCCAUCAGAGGGGAUAACACGUGGCAACAGGUGCUAAACCCCUAUUGAUGGAUGGACCCGCGGGGCAUUAGCUAGUUGGUGAGGUAACGGCUCACCAAGGCCACGAUGCAUAGCCGGUCUGGGAGGGUGAGCGGCCAAAAUGGGACUGAGACACGGCCAUGAAGCCGACGGGAGGCAGCAGGAGGGAAUAUUUGGCAAUGGGCGAAAGGCUGAACGAGGAACGCCGCGUGAGUGAAGAAGGUUUUCGGAUCGUAAAACUCUUUUGGGAGAGAAGCGGUAUCUAACCAGAAAGCAACGGCUAACUACGUGCCAGCAGCCGCGGUAAUAC